rnacentral:lncRNA from 1 species
AGCCAUCCAGAGACAACAAAAGUGAAUCUCAUGUCAAAAUCACACAUUGCCAUCACAUUCUGACUUGUAAACCCUUUCCUGUUACUGUAUUUGAUCUCCUCUUCUUUAGGCACAAUCACAGGAAUGUGUGUUCCAUCUAUGGCCCCAAUGGCAUUUUUGAAAUGAGGCCAAUUUUUUUUUAUUUUUAGCCAUGCGAUCCACACAUUCCAAAACCUCAUGAAACUUCUUGUUAAUGAUAGACCUACUAUGUUCAAACUGAUCUGCUACAUUGUUCGUGGUCUGACAUGUCCCCAAAGUCCAUAAAAGAGUGCCAAUGCUUCUUUGGUGGACAUAUUGCAAGUUGGAGUGAGUCCAUACUUCUGAACCAACAAGUCAUGUAAUGGAAAAAACACGGACCUGUGCAUCCUGAACAUAGAGUAGAAAGCUUUUGGAAUGUUUGCCUUAUCUUCAACCCACUGGAUGCCUGACAUCAAUGGUAAACGUCUUGGAGCAUACAGAACCUUCUGUACUGUAACAGCCCGAGAGCAACCAUUUUUCCUUUUAAGCCCUUUUGGGCUGUUUUGUAAUUUAAUUAUUGUCAUUAUCAUAUCAUGCUC